rnacentral:rRNA from 1 species
GACGAACGCUGGCGGCGUGCCUAAUACAUGCAAGUGGAACGCACAGUUUAUACCGUAGCUUGCUACACCAUAAACUGUGAGUUGCGAACGGGUGAGUAACGCGUAGGUAACCUGCCUGGUAGCGGGGGAUAACUAUUGGAAACGAUAGCUAAUACCGCAUAAUAUUGAUUAUUGCAUGAUAAUUGAUUGAAAGAUGCUAUUGCAUCACUACCAGAUGGACCUGCGUUGUAUUAGCUAGUAGGUGAGGUAACGGCUCACCUAGGCGACGAUACAUAGCCGACCUGAGAGGGUGAUCGGCCACACUGGGACUGAGACACGGCCCAGACUCCUACGGGAGGCAGCAGUAGGGAAUCUUCGGCAAUGGACGAAAGUCUGACCGAGCAACGCCGCGUGAGUGAAGAAGGGUUUCGGAUCGUAAAGCUCGGUUGUAAGAGAAGAACGGGUGUGAGAGUGGAAAGUUCACACUGUGACGGUAGCUUACCAGAAAGGGACGGCUAACUACGUG